rnacentral:sRNA from 1 species
AUUUGCCAUUUCAUUGUGAUUAUGGUGUUUCUCGAUGGCCGUCAUCAAUGGUAAGCCUAAAAUUAUCAAUUUUCAACCCUAAAUUAUUGAUUUUUCAGGUACAUGUACAACGCCAUCCUCACAUUCUCGUUUUUGGCACUUUUCUACUCAUUUUUCACGAUUUUAUUGCGAUUUUUUGAGCUCACAGAGCUGCAUUUUAUGUCCUUCAAUUUUGCGGUAAGAAAUUUGAGAUUAAAAAAAAAAAAAAUUUUUUUGAUUUUUCAAAAAAAAUUUUUUUUUGAUUUUUCAAAAAAAAAAUAUUGUUAAUUAAUUUCAAUGAUUUUCAUUUUAAAAAUCGGAUUCAGGAGCUCUAUUUUCACCCUUUUUCGCUCAAAUUUUGAAAAACUGUGCAUUUUGUCGUAAGCGCUGCGGUGUUUGCGUACUUUUGGCGCUACCGUACCCCUGGGCCCUCAAAAUUUGAGCUAGAUGUCCAGGGAAAAGAGUUACAGGGGUAAAAAUUAGCGUAAAUUUCGAAUUUUGUGAUGAAAAAUUGAAAAAAGCGAUAGUUUUUCAAAAAAAUUUUUUGAAAAAAUCGAUUUUUUCACGGUAAAAAUUGGUUUUUGUUAGCAUUUUUAUUACAAAAUUUGAACUCAAAACGCAUUUACACCCCUAAUCAGUCAGUUUUUGCAAAAUUUCAACAAACUGUGCAUUUUGUCGUAAACGUUGCGGUGUUUGCGUACUUUCAGAGCUACCGUAACCCGCGAUCGGAAUUUUGCUGAAUUUCGAGUGUAAAAAAGGCAUCAGCCGUGCCAAAAACAAGAAAAAUUCAAGUUUAGGUAUAAGAAUGUGGAAAAUCAAUAUUUUUUCAAGAAAAAAAAUUUGUAAAAAAAAAAUUGUUUUUUCGAAAUUUUUUUCCCAAAAAAAAAAAUUAUCAAAUUUUUUCAGGCAAUGUUGUGCAAUUUUGUUCUUAUGGUUCUAAGCUUGGCAUUUUCUGGAAUUCUAAUCUGGGACAUCUGUAAUAUGCGUGAUGGACCCCAUAAAAUCAAGUACCAUGACCGGCUGCCCCCGGUUACCAUCGGACAAGACGCGUGGAUAAGGAGAUGUGUUUUAGCAGCGG